rnacentral:rRNA from 1 species
AAGGUCCUUCGGGACCGAGUAUAGUGGCGCACGGGUGAGUAACGCGUAGGCAACCUACCCUCGGGACCGGGAUAACAGAGCGAAAGUUCUGCUAAUACCGGAUACGACCGGAAGACGGGAGUUUUUUGGUGAAAGUCGGCCUCUCCAUGGAAGCCGAUGUUCGAGGAUGGGCCUGCGUCCUAUCAGCUAGUUGGUAGGGUAACGGCCUACCAAGGCGACGACGGGUAGCUGGUCUGAGAGGAUGAUCAGCCACACUGGCACUGAAACACGGGCCAGACUCCUACGGGAGGCAGCAGUGAGGAAUUUUGCGCAAUGGGAGCAAUCCUGACGCAGCAACGCCGCGUGGGUGAUGAAGGCCUUCGGGUCGCAAAGCCCUGUCAGGUGGGAAGAAAUGGCUUGGGGCAAAUAGCUUCGGGUUUUGACGGUACCACCAGAGGAAGCACCGGCUAACUCCGUGCCAGCAGCCGCGGUAAUACGGAGGGUGCGAGCGUUAUUCGGAAUUACUGGGCGUAAAGCGCGUGCAGGCGGGAAGGUAAGUCUGAUGUGAAAGCCCCGGGCUUAACCCGGGAAGUGCAUUGGAAACUGCUUUUCUUGAGUACUGGAGAGGAAGGGAGAAUUCCCGGUGUAGAGGUGAAAUUCGUAGAGAUCGGGAGGAACACCAGUGGCGAAGGCGCCCUUCUGGACAGUUACUGACGCUGAGACGCGAAAGCGUGGGGAGCAAACAGGAUUAGAUACCCUGGUAGUCCACGCUGUAAACGAUGAUCACUAGGUGUAGCGGGUACUCAUUCCUGCUGUGCCGUAGCUAACGCGUU